UUAAAAGUCCCUUGCUUCAGACCUCAUU
rnacentral:piRNA from 1 species